CCUACGGGUGGCAGCAGUGAGGAAUAUUGGUCAAUGGACGAGAGUCUGAACCAGCCAAGUAGCGUGAAGGAUGAAUGCCCCAUGGGUUGUAAACUUCUUUUAUAUGGGAAUAAAAUGCUCCACGUGUGGGAUUUUGUAUGUACCAUAUGAAAAAGCAUCGGCUAACUCCGUGCCAGCAGCCGCGGUAAUACGGAGGAUGCGAGCGUUAUCCGGAUUUAUUGGGUUUAAAGGGAGCGUAGGGGGAUCGUGAAGUCAGGUGUGAAAGUUUGCGGCUCAACCGUGAAAUUGCAGUUGAAACUGGCGGACUAGAGUACGGUAGAGGUAGGCGGAAUGCGUGGUGUAGCGGUGAGAUGCUUAGAUAUCGCGAAGAACUCCGAUUGCGAAGGCAGCUCACUGGACUGCAACUGACACUGAGGCUCGAAAGUGUGGGUAUCGAACAGGAUUAGAUACCCCUGUAGUC
rnacentral:rRNA from 1 species